GGGGUUGUGGCUCAGCGGUAGAGCACUUGCCUAGCAAGUGUGAGGCCCUGAGUUUGAUCCUCAGCACCACA
rnacentral:tRNA from 1 species